UAUUAUAAACCUGUAAUAAGCAAUAAUUUCUGAAUUUACAGUACUAAUCAUAAGGUAAAAUGUAUUGAUGUUUUUCCAUGUUUACAUUUAAUGUGUGAAGAAUGUAGGGAGGAAUAUCAUUUAUAUGCAAGGAUUUUCUUAUUUCCUUGGUGUUUAAUACUUCCAUUUAUGUAUAAUCACAUUUAAUUAUCAUUGAUAUAAAACUUCCUUUUAAAGAAGGAUGGUUCUGUUUUACACUGUUUCUGCUAUAUAUGUGGCAUUAUUGAAGAAUUAAUUAAUGUAAGGUACAAAAUUAUCAGCCGUUAUCAUUUGCAGAAAAAUAUUUCUCAUUUAUUCAGAAGACAUAUAGAUAUACUUUACAUGCCAACAAUUAAAAACCAAAUAUAAUCCUUGUUGUGGUUGUGACAGUAUUUACAUCUUUUACAUCUUUUUAUUUUUGUUUAUUGUUUAUAUUUUAUAGCUAUAUACCAUUAAUUUAUAGCUAUAUAAUAUUAUUUAUAGCUAUAUACCAUUAAUUGUAAUAAUAAAUUUUAUAACAUAGUUCCAAAUAUUCCCCUCAAUUUUUAGGAUAAUAAUAACUUAAAUUACAACUUAUUUAAGUAUCAUGGACUUGUUGCUAACUAGUGUAUUUUCAUUUAUUUUCUUUAUUAUGGUGAAUUUAUUUCAAAUCUGUAGAUAGUUGUUAAUAUUUAUAUAUUUAGUUUUAUUUCAUCAUGCCUAAUAUUUUGUCAAUAUAUUUUUGACAUUUCAUUUCUAUAAUAACUGUUUCUGAAAAUAAAUACUAGUUGAUGUUGAUAUCUAAAUUGACAAAUUUUAUUUGUUAUCAUCAGGGUUAAGAUAUUAUUAUCUAAAUUCACAGGAAGGGCAUCUGCUUUAGUUUUAAUAGGAUUUUCAUUUUUUUGAAACGUGCAAUAUUUUGAAAAUUUUUAUUUAGAAUUUUCACAGAUAGCCAAACUUAAAUCAAAAGACAAUAUAUGAGUUCAAUUAAGGAGUUCGAAAACAGGAAUGCAAUUAUCUUAGUAUAUCUUGCCUCAUUAAAUUGUUUUGAGCUCUUCAUUUAUAUUUUCAGGUUAGAUUUAGUGUUUAUUCUGUUCUGAUUAACUGAAGAACAAACAGCUUUAAACUAGAUCUCAGUUUAUAUUUUACUUUAUGUAUAUUAAGUUAUGCACUUGUUAUCUUUCUUUUCAGAUAGUUAAAAAUCUGUCAGUUUUCACAUUUAUCUUUCAAUUUGUAACUGAAGAGUUAUCUCCCAUUAAGUGUACAUGUUAACUGAAUAAAAAUGAUCAAAG
rnacentral:lncRNA from 1 species